rnacentral:sRNA from 1 species
UGAUGGUAUACUGAGUUGUCCGUAGUGGU